AUUGAACGCUGGCGGAAUGCUUUACACAUGCAAGUCGAACGGCAGCACGGACUUCGGUCUGGUGGCGAGUGGCGAACGGGUGAGUAAUGUAUCGGAACGUGCCCAGUCGUGGGGGAUAACGUAGUGAAAAUUACGCUAAUACCGCAUACGAUCUAUGGAUGAAAGCGGGGGAUCGCAAGACCUCGCGCGAUUGGAGCGGCCGAUAUCAGAUUAGGUAGUUGGUGGGGUAAAGGCCGACCAAGCCAACGAUCUGUAGCUGGUCUGAGAGGACGACCAGCCACACUGGAACUGAGACACGGUCCAGACUACUACGGGAGGCAGCAGUGGGGAAGUUUGGACAAUGGGCGAAAGCCUGAUCCAGCCAUUCCGCGUGCAGGAUGAAGGCCCUCGGGUUGUAAACUGCUUUUGUACAGAGCGAAAAGGUUUCUACUAAUACUAGGAGCUCAUGACGGUACUGUAAGAAUAAGCACCGGCUAACUACGUGCCAGCCGCCGCGGUAA
rnacentral:rRNA from 1 species